CUCGGGCUGGUUGGGAAGGGUUAAAGAGGCGAGUUUGUGGGUCGCCGACGGUCCGGCUGCCCCCGCCUCUUUCCGUCUGAUCCGCGCUCUCCCGCGGCUGCGCCGGCUCGGCCGCCCGGGAGACAAAGCACCGCCGCUGCCGCCGCCUCAACCGAGCAGGUCCCGGGCCAUGGCCGGGCCGCUCCCCGGCUCCGCGUCUCCCGUCCCGCCACUGCUGCCGUCACCCUAGGCCGCGCCGUGAGGUUUUUGAGCACCAACUACAUCCCAGGCACUGGAAUUCAGACAAAGAACCUCUGCCCUCCUAGAGCAGGCAAAAAUGACCCAGAUGUGGAAGCAGAGGCCCAGAGGGGCUUAAAGCUUGCCCGGGGGUCACACAGCCUGGACACUACAGAGCUGACAUUUGAACCCAGAGAAGAGCCAGCCGAAACCAGAACUGAGCAGAGGGCCGGGAAGUGAGCAGUGGCCUGAGAGGUGUCAGCUGAGAUGCCCCCUCCUCCAGGAAGCCUUCCGGGAUCCCCCUAUUCACGGUCUCGGGGUGUUUCCGCCAUUGAAGCACUGAGCACACAGCAGACGGACAGCGACUGCAGACACAACGUCAACACCAAAGCUAAUGGUCCAGAGGGAGCGUUGGUUCCCAGAGCCCAGGGGGCACCUACUUCUACAGGCUCUUAGGUGGCUUGUGUGUGUCAGAUGAGGCUUCCUCCUCCACUCCUGCCCCCACCUACAACCCGCGGCCACAUCCUGAGGAUUUCUGACUUCUGACCUCCGGAGCUGCAAACCAGGUGUCCAAAGGGCCUGUCUUUGGCUUUACUUUGGAGCAAUUAGUUAUCCUAACCAAGGAGGAGGUCACUCAUCAUUUCAUUCCCGCCGCAAGGACGUGUGGAAAAACUGGGGUGAUCAGAAGGUUUCCAGACAAAGAGGAAAGGUCUGUCUUGGGAUGCCACGUGCCCAUGGCUCACGGGUGAAUAAUGUUUAAUGCCACUUAGGGAACUCUCUUGACAUUAUUGGUCAAGAAAAAAAAAAACCUCCUGCAGCUUGAUACACAGAGAGACUCACCAUCACGGGUUGAAGGAACCCAACCCCCAGUCAUGAAAACAGUAAUACUGAGCCCUUAUGUGCCACACACUGUCUUAUGUGUUUUACAUGCAUCAUCAUUCUUGAUAAUGACCCUUUGAGUUGGCUGCUGUGAUACCCCCAUUUUACAGAUGGGGAGACCGAGGCCCUAGUUAUACAGCUGGGAAAGGGGCGCUGCUGUGUUGGUCACCAGAAAGCCCCUCUUGGCAUUCUUCCAUCAGGAGUCUAGAGGCACCCACCACUCACACACUCCACUGAGGUGGGCACAGCUUGUAAACUGGCUGGUCUUAGGGCCACGACCUGUGGAUUGGGGCAGGGCACAAUCUCAGCUCCUCAGAUCUAGACCCCAGAGUCUAACCAGCUUCCACCUGCUGCAAUGAGUGGAAAGUGUAUUCCAAUCCUUCCAUCUUCCUUUGUUGGAGCCCACAGCACAAUCACCAACCGAGAUGUCCACAGGACCUGGGCAGGUGGUGCAGGUGCAGACAGAGGCAAAUCAUGGGCACGUGUCCUAACGGGGAGGGCCACUCCUCAGCUAGCUGCUGUCAUGUUGGAAUUUGGGCCCUGUGUGGCCAGAUCUUAUUGUUUUCCAGUGAAGCCAGUAAUCAUGAUUUUUAAUGAAAUUAGAACAUUCUUUAACACCAUACACAAAAAUAAACUCAAAAUGGAUUAAAGACCUAAAUGUAAGACUGGAUACUAUAAAACUCUUAGAGAGAACACUCCUUGACAUAAUCGCAGCAAUAUCUUUUUCGAUUCAUCUCCUAGAGUAAUGGAAAUUUAAAAAAAAAUAAACAAAUGGGACCGAAUUAAACUCAAAUGCUUUUGCACAGCAAAGGAAGCUAUAAACAAGACGAAAAGACAACCCUCAGAACAGGAGAAAAUAUUUGCAAACGAAGCAACUGACAAAGGAUUAAUCUCCAAAAUAUACAAACAACUCAUGCAGCUCAAUAUCAAAAAAACAAACAACCCGAUCAAAAAAUGGGCAGAAGACCUAAAUAGACAUUUCUCCAAAGAAGACAUACAGAUGGCCAAGAGGCACAUGAAAAGAUGCUCAACAUCGCUAAUAAUUAGAGAAAUGUAAAUCAAAACUACAAUGAGAUAUCACCUCACGCCAGUCAGAAUGGCCAUCAUCCAAAAGUCUACAAACAAUAAAUGCUGGAGAAGGUGUGGAGAAAAGGGAACCCUCCUACACCGCUGGUGGUAAUGUAAAUUCGUACAGCCACCAUGGAGAACAGUAUGGAGGUUCCUUAAGAAACUAAAAAUAGAGCUACCACAUGAUCUAGCCCACACCUGGACAUAUAUCCAGUGAAAAACAUGGUUUGAAAGGAUACAUGUACCCCAGUGUUCACUGCAGCGCUGCUUACAAUAGCCAAGACAUGGAAGCAACCUAAAUGUCCAUCGACAGAUGAAUGGAUAAAGAAGAUGUGGUACAUAUAUACAACGGAAUAUUACUCAGCCAUAAAAAAGAAUGAAAUGAUGCCAUUUGCAGCAACAUGGAUGGACCUGGAGAUGAUCAUACUAAGUGAAGUCAGACAGAGAAAGACAUAUCAUAUAACAUCGCUUAUAUGCAGAAUCUAAAAAAAUGAUACAAGUGAACUCAUUUACAAAACAGAAACAGACUCAUAGACAUAGAGAACGAACUUACGAACUUACGGUUACCAGAGGGGAAGGAUGGGGGGGAGGGGUAGAUUGGGAGUUUGGGAUUGACAUGUACACACUGCAUAUUUAAAAUAGAUAACCAACAAGGACCUACUGUAUAGCACAGGGAACUCUGUACUGUAAUAACCUACAUGGGAAAAGAAUUUGAAAAAGAAUAGAUACAUGUACAUGUAUAACUGAAUCACUUUGCUGUACACCUGAAACUAACACAACAUUGUUAAUCAACUGUACUCCAAUAUUAAAUAAAAAUAAAAAAAAUAUAUUAAUACAAAAAAAAUCGCGAUUUUUAUGUGACAAGCCCCCAUAUUUUCAUGGUGGCAAAUGAAUUUUAAAACCAGUUUUUAAAAAUACCGUUUUGUAAAACACCUGAGGGCCAGAUCUGACCCCCAAUUUGUACCCACAGCUCCAGAACAAAGCAAGCAGGACACCCAGAUGUUAUUAUACAAUUCUGUAUUGAGCGACGCAUUUAUUACAGAACGUGUUCCUUUUUUUUUUUUUUUUUAAUUUAAACAAAGUUCAUCAAUCUCUCAUAGAAACAGUCUUGUGGGUUUUUGUUCUGUGUUUACCGUUAUAGGACGUGAACCUGACAAAGUUGUUCACAGGUCUGCUAGCUUUAAGUACAACAGGAUUUCUGUGUUCAAAAGACUAUACUAAGUGCUUAAUCAAAUCCCGUCACACAAAAGCCAGAUUUAGUCCUCUAAGGAUUGCAGUCUGCAUAUAAGCCUGGAUUUCAAUGCUGCGUAGGUUUCAACAGUAAAACGUGGUGUGUCCCCCACGGUUGCCUUAAUUGGGACAGGUUGGCUAAAAUGAGAUGUUUCGUUUGUUCCAGAUUUGAUUACUCUGAAAAUUGGUCACUGUUUCCUAUUGUCAAAAUAUAAAAAUACCUUCAUCUGGAUAAAAAUGUAUACAGUGGAAAACUCUUCAAUGCAUAGCCUGGGUGUAUGGAAAAGGAGGUUUUCCUGCAGGGUUUGCAUUGUUCUUCAUUGAUUGGUGUGGAGACUGCAGCCUGGGCUGGGUGCAUGAGAGUUGAGAUUUCUGGAACACCCCUCAAAUGACCCCUUCUGGUCACUGGAUUUUGCUGGCCUGGGUUUCAAAAUGUUCGCUGCAUCCUUGAAACCCCUGUCAGCCAUCUUUCCCCCUGGUACUGGGUUGGCACCGAUUAUGACCACCUUUUCAUUGUCAUUCUGGAUUCAGCUGGGAAGUCACCCAACUCAACCUUCCCAGAGUUUGAAAAAGUAAAAGAAAUAAUAACAGGAGAGAUUCAACAACCAAUAUGGUGGCUGUUCCAUCCAAAUUGGGAACUCUUCCCCUAAAAACCAGGAUGAUGAAGACACUGGAGGGUGGGCUUCUUUGAGUUGAGGGGUUGAGUCUUUGUUCUCAAAAAAGGUCAUGUGUUAGAAGGCAGGAAGUUGGACUUGAGACAGGGAUAUGGUGGUCAUGCUGAGGUGAAGUCAACCUUUUAGCUUCAUUCUGCAUAAACCUGGAGGUGCAGACGCUUUCCGGAAAGCAUCAGGGUCAACUUGAGAAAGAUGAUGAUGAGAAGGCGAGCUGGGGUCUCUAGUUGGAUGAAUCUACUUUUUGGUGCUGGGUGCUGAGCUGGGUGUUUGUGGGAUGACCAACGCUGUUAUUUUCUUAAAACCCAAAGACGGGAAGAUGGCGGCCACAGUCUUGCUCUGGAAAGCCAGUAGGGAAACUUCCUGCACUGUGGCCACGAUUCAGGUUGGGGGAUGGGGUCACUCUGGUUCGAGCGCCACCCUCUAAUCACCUACCCCCAUACCUGGCUUUCCAAAGGAUUCGGAACCAUCUUGUCUACAGAUGGACGAGAUGGAUUGUCUACCCACUGCGGUCCACAGGUUUCUGACAAGAGGGAGUGUAAGCAGUUUGUUUUGUACCAUGUUACAUCUCAGAUAGGAUGGUCGGCCACAGCCCACAUCUCUACAACAUUUACAACGGCAUUGGACAUUCUGUGUUAUCAAGGUUGCAAAACAGACCACCAGAAUGAAACACAUCCUCAACGGCAUCAAGGUUUUCAUUUAGAGUCUUCUGGACUUUCUCUUUUCAACAUGGUUUCUGGAAGGGCAGUAGCAAUGGACUGUGUCUCACAGACAGACACGGGAAUAAACCGUGGUUCAAGGGUUAUCUAAAUUUUGGUCAGUCUUAUAGCGUUUUGUGAUGGCUUUGAACAACUGUCUCCUUUUAAUCUCAUCUAGUGGCAAAAAUGACACAACUUCAGUGUAUACUUCGCAACAGUUGUGACGGUAUCCUGAUUUCAUAACUCUCUGUAAUAUCAAAACAGCAUCAGCUGGGAAUAAAUUCCAAAGGAUCCUUUAUUAAAAUAUCUAAAA